rnacentral:misc_RNA from 1 species
CCCCAAUGGGUUCUCCGGAUUUCUGGAGACUUGUAGGGGUUGUGGGAUUUUUGAUGUGUCGUCUCCGGACGGGCGGUGCAGGGUAGUCGAGUUAGACUUGGUGGAAUUCCGUCGAUAGGAGUUCCGUCGAGUCUGGUCGGCUGUGUGUUGGACGGUGCAGGGUAGGCUGCUUGGACAUGGUCGGUUCGAGGAUCGAUUCGAGGGCCGGCCCGUCGAUGAUGUGUGAUGUAUGCGGUCUAGGGUAGGCUGGUUUGUCUUGGUCCAAUUUGAUGUCGGCUCCCGCGCAGGCCAGAGUGAAGGGGGAUCCAGGGUAGGUACAGGGUAGGCAGCUUAGAUUUGGUCGAUCUGGAGGUCGAUUCUCCGGCUGGCGGAUCUGACACUGUCGAAACGAGAUGCGAGUGGUGUAGGGUAGGCUAGUUUCGUCCUCGCCAGGUUGCGAUUUGGACGAGAUAUGUGGUCUAGGGUAGGCUCUAGGGUAAGUAGAAUUCGAGUUUCGUCGCCGACAGUUUUCUGUGGGUGUAUGGUAGGUACAGGGUAGGCAAAUCUCUCUCCGGCCAGUACUUGUCUGGUGGUCGUGAGUCGAUUUUUUUGUUUUGCCAUACUAUUGAAUUUUGCGGAAAUUCAAAAGUGGCUCGGGAGUCCCGCCUGGCGUGCGUCCGACUCGAACAUCGUCGGUGUACAUAUGAGAGGGAGUAAUCCGGCCCGGCCGGGGCCCAUCGCGAGCUGCCGGGUAGGUAAAAGUAAAAAAGUUGUUAAGAGGCGCGGUGUCGGCGUGCUUGUAUUUGCGGGAGAGAAUUAUCUGGAGGUGCUGGGUAGCCGGGAAGACUUGGACGGAUCUGGCCCGGGAAUGGGUCUGGGCCUGGAUUCUGGUGUGGUGUAGGAUAAGCGUAGAUAGAUGAGUGGUCUAGGGUAGAUACAGGGUAGCCAGAAGUCUGGUAUAUAGUAUGGGGGGUGUAGGGUAGGUCUGGACACCGUUUUCCACUUCGCCCUUCCCCUUUACUCGAGGGAGGACGAUCUUGGCUGGGAUGGAGGUGUAGGUAGGCUUAAUUUUACGAUUACAUGGCCUGUGUCGCUCUGGGGUAGGUGAAAAUCCCAUAUAUAUCUGAUCACAUUUUGGUGAAGAGGGGUU